rnacentral:rRNA from 1 species
AAUAUCUGGCCUUGCGCACCCGUGCUAUCCUCUUUGUUGGGAUUUGUCGCGGUGUGCGUGGGUCAUCGUUCUGAAGCGCUUUACCGCCCUUGAUUGGGUGUGUCUAGUUAUUCAGAUCAUUUACUGUGAGUAAAUCAAAGUGUUCAAAGCAGGCAGUAAUGCUUGAAUGGUUCAGCAUGGAAUAAUAAGAUAAGACUUGGGUUUUAUUUGUUGGCUGUGAAACCAAAGUAAUGAUUGAAAGGGAUAGUUGGGGGUGCUAGUAUUCAGUGGUCAGCGGUGAAAUGCGAGGACCCAUUGAAGACUAACUUAUGCGAAAGCAUU